AUGAGGCAGCUGAUCCGUCGGCUGUCACGCGUGGGCGACGACUCCUCGCCGCCCGCGUCGCCGUCGUCGAAGCGGCGGGGCGGGGGCGGGGGCGGGAGGGCGGUGGUGCCGGAGGGGCACGUGCCGGUGCACGUCGGGGACGGGAGCGAGGCGGAGCGGUUCCUGGUGCGGGCGGAGCUGCUAGGCCGGCCGGCGCUGGCGGAGCUCCUGGGCCGCGCGGCGCAGGAGUACGGCUACGACCACCAGGGCCCGCUCCGCAUCCCCUGCUGCUCCCCCGCCGCCUUCCGCCGCGCGCUCGCCGACUGCUGCUAG
rnacentral:rRNA from 1 species